GACGAACGCUGGCGGCGUGCCUAAUACAUGCAAGUCGAACGAGAGCGACCGGUGCUUGCACUGGUCAAUCUAGUGGCGAACGGGUGAGUAACACGUGGGUAACCUGCCCAUCAGAGGGGGAUAACAUCCGGAAACGGAUGCUAAAACCGCAUAGGUCUUCGAACCGCAUGGUUUGAAGAGGAAAAGAGGCGCAAGCUUCUGCUGAUGGAUGGACCCGCGGUGCAUUAGCUAGUUGGUGAGGUAACGGCUCACCAAGGCCGUGAUGCAUAGCCGACCUGAGAGGGUGAUCGGCCACAUUGGGACUGAGACACGGCCCAAACUCCUACGGGAGGCAGCAGUAGGGAAUCUUCCGCAAUGGACGCAAGUCUGACGGAGCAACGCCGCGUGAGUGAAGAAGGUUUUCGGAUCGUAAAACUCUGUUGUUAGAGAAGAACAAGUGCUAGAGUAACUGUUAGCGCCUUGACGGUAGCUAACCAGAAAGCCACGGCUAACUACGUG
rnacentral:rRNA from 1 species